rnacentral:misc_RNA from 1 species
GAUGAAGAACGUAGCGAAAUGCGAUAAGGAAUGUGAAUUGCAGAAUUCAGUGAAUCAUCGAAUCUUUGAACGCACAUUGCGCCCCUUGGUAUUCCGAGGGGCAUGCCUGUUCGAGCGUCAUUAUAACCCCUCAAGCUCAGCUUGGUGUUGGGGCCUGCUGCACUGGCAGCCCUUAAAAUCAGUGGCGGCGCCAUCUGGCUCUAAGCGUAGUAAUUCUUCUCGCUAUGGAGUCCUGGUGGAUGCUUGCCAUCAACCCCCAAUUUUUCUAUGGUUGACCUCGGAUCAGGUAGGGAUACCCGCUGAACUUAAGCAUAUCAAUAAGCGGAGGA